rnacentral:lncRNA from 1 species
CCCAUGAUGAUGUUACUUUCUAUGUUUUCUCAACACCUCAACAAAAAAAACUUAGCUAACAUCGUGAGCUAGACUAUGAUAUCAAGUUUUGCAUAACAUUUUUAGUAAAAUAAUAAUAGCUUGUGCAUCUUCUAAACUUGCAUCUUGACUUGUAGCUUCAAUCUUUAAAAACCCGUAAGUACAAAAGUUUUUAAAAUAACAAAUAACUAUUGAUAAAAUAACAUAUGUAAUUUUAUAUGAGCAAUAGUUAAAUCGCUUACCCAAAAGUAGUCUAAAUUCACAAGGUGUUAUCCAGCAACAUCAACAAGACUACAACAAUAUUAAAAAAAAUUAAUUAGAAAAUCUUUAGGAUGGUUAUUCUUACUUUGGUUCGAUAAAUCUCGGUACGACAAUUCGAGAUUUACCAUUCAAAAGAUCAACUAUUAUGAACAAACAACAACAUGGUAUGCUUCUGUUCCAGUGCAAAAUGAAGCACGCUCUUGCUUAUAAAAGUUAAAUUAAAUAAAGAUAAUAGAUAAGAAAAAUACUACGAUGCACACUACUUGUUACGAUCAAAUGCACACAACUGGAUUCUCAAGAGUUGGUAUGAAAUGGAGAAAGAAUAGUCUCAAGAUGCUAAGCAAUAUCCCUAGAGUAGUUAUUUUUAAUGGCUUGAUACUAAACUGUUGAAUAUCUUUACACAAUUAUUCACUACACACCAGGGACAAAUAGUGGUGAUGCCAGAUAAAUGGUCACUACAAAUUACUCCAUUUUCACCAUAAAGGUAACAAUGUUCUUAGAGCUCUCCAACUAUUUCUAGAAAGUGUGUUCCAAUGUCAAGAUUUUAUGAAGGCACAUCCUCUCUUCAUUCAUUUGAGUAGUGUACAAAUACAGGACCUGAAUCUGAUUCAUUCCACAUCAAAUUAGUGUGCUCAGAUCAAAAUCCAGGUCGAUGUAAUUAGACUCUACUAAUCGAUAGACCUUGUCUUUCUAAUUUAGUUGAUCAGAAUGCAUUUAAGGGAGGGUAGAGAUCCUUACAAUAUACUCAACAUGCUAAGGAAUGUUCAUGUCUUGAUACUAAACUGUUGAAUACUUUUACACGGUUAUUCACAUCACACCAGAGACAAAUAGACAAUCUAAAACAACCAUUCAAUAUCAUAUAGUAUAAUACAUGAAAUCACUCUUGACAUUAAAACAUCACCUACUUCUCAAUUGUAGGUCAAUUAAUAAGCUAUUACAUAUUCUCAUUCAUGAAACCCAACAUAUCUUAAGCUAAAUUCUUUCUCGUUGUCUUUUUAAGAUUAGCCUACCUUGGCCUAAUGUUAUUUGUACUCCAACGUUUGAUAUAAAAACAUCUGAUGACACAAUUAAACAUUCUAAAGUGAAACAAUUAGAAGAAUACAUGUAAAAUCAAACUUGAGAUAUCACAACAAUACAAUAUUGCCUGAGCAAAAACAAUUUUUCCAUUUAAGAAAAAAGAUCAUAUAUUUUGGACCAAUAUGGAUAAAGUGUCCUGACCAUUGUGCUCAGCAACGUCAUAGCAAAUUAGAAUACAUCCAAACAAACAAAAGUGCAACAUAAAACAUUGAGAUAUACAACUAGGAUUGCAACGUCCAAGCAAACAAAGUACCAAACUCGAAAACAAAACAUAGGAGUCAGAUAUCUAAUAGCUAGUUGAUCACAACAAAUGCGUAUGGAAUCCACUAGUCCAGAACACCAAAAUUGCAGUAAUUUGAAAUUGCCACUCAACCCAAGUAAUGAACAAAGAUGUUUUACACAAUAUUUUCUACAAGCCACCUAUAUAACUAAACGCCUAAUGUUCAACUUAUGUACCAGGUUUUCAUCUCAUUCAUUGUGAUUAAUAAGAGUUCUCUGUCUGAGCUUUUCAUCUCAACUUAUGUACCAGCUUUUCACUAAACACAAUUAGCAAUUCAAGAAGGUGCUUUCGGCAUUCUUCUAUAGCACACAAACAAGACUACUAGUUGCAGGGAUUAGUUAACUCAUGGUGAAGGAAGAAAAAUACAUCAACGAAGCAAAAGAAGGCAAUUAAAAUUUGCCGCUGAGGAUACCGAAUCGCAAUUUUAUAUAAACUUCAGAAAUUAAAUUAUCAAACUAGGAAUCCCAACCCAAUAAUCUUUUCACUGAUUUUGUAAAAGAAAAAAAUACCAAAAUAUGAAACCUUACCAAAUUGUUUAUGUUAGAGAAGAAAAAGAAGAUCGAAGAACUCGAAUAAGCGAAGCAAUCAACGAAAAAAAGCAACUUGAAAGAGGGGGCAUACCACGGAUUCUCAACGAGCGAGAUGGAAACUUGGGAAAAUUCACACACCACCAGAUUUACAACUUGUGUUUUGAGAAAACACAGUAAAGGCGACGGGCAGAGCUUGGCGGAAACUAGGGCUGAGCUUAUGGCGCAACUUGUGUUUCAUAAUAUAGAGAGUUUCACGGAUUCUCAACGAGUGAGAUGGAAACUUGGGAAAAUUCACACACCAUCAGAUUCACAUUUUGUGUUUUGAGAAAACACAGUAAAGGCGAUGGGUAGAGCUUGGCUGAAACUGGGUGGAGCUUGGCAUGCGGAAACUAGGGCAGAGCUUAUGUUCGCGACUUGUGUUUUAGAAUACAGAGAGUUUCUUGACAUUUUAAAAUUUUUUAUUACAAUAUAAUAGUUUUGGCGCCUGAUUUUUCACAAAAUAAUAGUUUUUUAAUAUUUUGGUAUUGGAUUUGGCAGCACUGUGUCACACUCAAUGUCCCUCAAUUAUAAUUUGGGACCAGUUACUACUUUCUUUAGGGACCGGAUUUACUACAUUAGUAAUAAAAUAUAGUAUUAAGGACCUCAAUAUUAUCUCGUCCCAAUAAAUAUAUUUUUUGCGACGAGAUUAUUAACUCAUCCCUAAAAGUUGGUCAUAAAUAAGGCUUUUUAUUGUAGUGUGUGCAAAUGGAAUUCGGAGAGUUCUUGAUGGUUUCCACCUCGGUUAGAGAUGUAUAUUUUCUAUGAGCAUGAGGAGCAUGGGAUGUAUAGUAAUUUUCUUCUAGACAGGAUCAAUGGAAAGUUCUUGGUUAGUUGACUACGUAGUUGCUUGUGGCUCGGAAUGGAUAUGAAGUUCUCAUGUUUAUCCUAGGAUGGUAUGGUAUAUGCGCUAUAUUGUGUAGGAUUGAGAUUUGCAUGUGUAAGGUCACGGUUGAGUUUUGAAAGGAAGGUCACAAAUUCUUAGGUAGCAUGGACAGUUUCAGAUGACUAGAUAAAUGACAUCAUUGAUAGGUGUGGCUUGAUGAUGGUAUACAUUUUAGAAAGGGUGAUGUGUUUGAGUUGAGGAUAUUCCAUUAGUAUUGCGGCACUCUAUUGUUGGAUUGACUGCUGAUAUUCGACUUUGAUUGGUGGCACAGAAGAAUUAUAGGAGUACCUCUCAUGGGAUGAUGGGGUAUUAGAGGUGUGUUGUAUAUUCGGACGGUGGAGUUAGAAUCGGCUAUGGUGAUUCGCGUGUUGUAUGGAUUUGAAGACUGGGAGUUCUCAUAAACAGGUUAGGUCGUGGUUGUGGAUCGCGUAUAUCAGUUUUGUGUGGUAACUAUUGGAGGUUUGGAGACCCUAGUGGAUCCUUGUUUCUUAAUAUGCUAGAUUUUGGUGUUAUAUUGGGUAUGGACUGGUUGUCUCCGUGUCAUUUUAUUCUAGGGUGUUGCUCUAGGACGACGAUGUUGGCUAUGCCAGGAAUGCCACGGAUUGGGUGACGAGGUUCGACGGAUUAUGGGGUGGUUUCAAUUUUAAAGACGCAACGGAUGGCUGGGAAGGGUUGUCUUUCUUAUUUGGCCUUCGUGAUGGAUGUCAGUGCAGAGACUCCUACCAUUGAUUCAGUUCCGGUGGUGAGAGAUUUUCCAGAUGCGUUUCCUACUGCCGGGUAUGUCGUCGGACAGGGUUGUUGAUUUCGGUAUUUAUUUGGUGCCGGGCACUAUCGUGCCCCAUUUUUCUCACGAAGACGGGCUUAGACAUGUGACAACUCUUUUAAAAGGGUAUUAAAAAAGAAGAGUCGACAUCUAAUGAUUUUAAGGUGUGUUAAGGCGCCUAUUUGUAAAUAACUCUGUUUGACUAGUCAACGUCACCAAAGAUCGAGCAAGGGCUCAAAUUACCUCUAAGAAAAGGUGUUAGGCACUCUUAGAGGUCCACAACUGUGGGUCCCGGCCGAAAUUUAUGCUAUGUGGGAUUAUUGGAUUACUAAUCCAAAGUUAGACUAGUUUGUUAUUACUAGGCGAUGAAAUAUGCAAAUAGUUAGAGAUGUAAUAAAAAUAAUUACUUAAACAGUCAAGUGCAUAAGGAAAGAAUUGAUAGUCUAAAGGAACUAAUUAUGUAAAGGAGGACCUAAAUUUUUAUGCCUAAUGCAUCAACUCCUGUGCAAAGCCUGCUACGACUUUUAUAACCAAAAGUGCAAUGGCUAUUCGGGCAAUUUGUGUAUCAUGUCCAACUACCCUCAUUAAUAUCUUUGAGUUAUUAACCUAAGAACGUACUAGUUAAUUCUAAAGCGCGUCUUAAUUUAAAACUACCCAUCCCUUCUUAUAGUCCCAGGAGGCUUUGGACACUAUUCUAAAAGGAUGGUUCUAUACAUAAAGAAAAUCUCAGGUUUCUAUUUAUAUUCUUAUUAGCGUCACAUAAAAUGGAGCACAUUGGGACUUAAACAAGUAACACAUAAGGCAUGUAAGGGCUCAUGUUGGCCUCCGAAUUAAUUAAAUUGAGAGUUGAUAAUUGAAGUAGUGAAAUGAACUCUUAUAAUAUAAUAACUUUCUUGAACUGAUACUACGCAACUCAAGUAUAAGCAUACUAGAAUAAACAUAAUUAUAAAAUUACUAAAAAUGUCGAGUAGAAGAUAAAGUAGUUUGGAUUAAAGUAUUUAGCUACGUACUCUUUUGUGUAAAGGUAGAUAAGAAAGAGGAAUUGAAAUAAGAUACCUGAUUUGAAAAUCGUAUGCUAGAAAACUUACUUGUAUACAAAGAUUGUUACUAGCCCCCAAGCCUUUAAUAAAUAAAUAAAAAUAUUAUAAGAAGACUAUACUUACUUAACAGUACUUGUUUCCAUGAAAUGAAUCAAGGGUAUUUUUUGUAAAACUAGUUUGACGACAGGUUUAAAACAAGUAGCAAUCUCCACUGUUAAAAGGAAAUUGAAUGCAUUAAAAAUCAUUAUUAUUAGGAGAAUAACACAAACAGAAAAUCACUUCUCCCUGUUACUUGAAUUCUAUAAGCAUGGUAAUAAUAUUGAAAAUGAAAGCAUGACUUCAGUGAUUAGUAAAAAUAGAAACAAACCACAAGAGCAAAUAGCACAUAGCAGCAACAAGUGACAAAUAAGUUUCAGCCCCAUCAUCCCUUUUACACAAUUACAGAUUAUUUGUAGCGGCCAACAUUACAAUACAAGCUAAACUAAUGAGCUUUAGGCGCAAAGUAAAUUCCAACACAAUAAUUCUUAAACCUUCCCCUUCCCAGGCGACUCCAAACACUCGCUCAAUGCUCGAAUUACGUCAUCCUGUAAGGUCAUAGCCCAACCAGGACACAUGCAGCGCACAUGGAGAUCGAAUUAUCGCGAAAAUAGAUUUAACUCGUUACUUCCAAGUAAUAUAACUUCAAGUAUUUUAUUCAAACUAUUUGCAAUUUAGUCCUGUAAAGAUAAAGAACAUGCUGAGAAAUACAACUCGCUAGCCUUUAACACCAACGAAGUUGUUGACUUCUCUUACUAUUAGUUCCUAAAUAGAGCACCUCUAGUGUUCAAAUCAAAUAAAUAAUUACUCAAACAAAAUAAAGUACAAGCAUUAUGGGAUAGCAAGUUAUCUGGAUGCAUUAUAGCCAACAAAGCAAAAAAUACUCUUAGCUUCUGACAUACUAUCCACAACUGGACAUGCAGUAUAUUAGGCCAGUUAAUCCUAAACAUGAUGUCUAAGUGACAAAAUAAGACCGGCAAACAUUCUUAAGGUUUAAGGGAUGAAGUUUUAACAAUCCAAUACCGCCUUUUAUUAACUUAGAAAUACUCGCUGAAAUGAUACCAAUGCAACAUGAAUUCAGCUAUACAAAGAAUGAAGAUCAUGGAACUUACAAAUAUCAUUCGAAAUCUUUUAGGCAGAAUUCCUAAACUAAAUCGUUGAACAUAGCAAAUAAGUUGGUGCUACUCUUAUUUAUGCAAUCUUUAGUCCUAAAUAAAGGAAAUGAUUUCCUAAUUACUAGGGUGCCAGAACAAAUCCUAAAGACAUUUAUGGUCAGGUCGUUUCAUAUUUAAAAACUCACACGUAAAAUCAAAAGAUUAAAAACACAAAUGAAUUUAAGAGACGUACCGUGUUAUUAUAUUGGCAUAAUUUCAAUAGAGUGUUGCAUGGCACUCGAUAUCUCAGCAUGGACAAGAGUGUACAUAAUACAAAACUAAAGAGAAGGACUAGUCUAUUCUAACAACAACCAACAUGUAAAGGAAUCGUAAUGCAUCAUUCAGGAAACUAACCAGUUUGUGGAGUACCAAAUUCAUAAGAAAACCAGAAAUCCAAAUAAUGAUUCACGGACAGAUCUUCAACAACAGUAAAUAUGCCAAACAAACUCCAGAAAUACGCAGUGAUUGCAAUAAGAAAACUCGAAUGAUAGUGACAAGAAAGCAAUACUCAAAUUUCGACGCUCCGAGAUCACUAAAACUUCUACGAAUUUUGAGCAACACUCGUGUCGAGUGAAAUAAAAGAAAACAAAUUUUGCUUUGGCUUGCAAUAAGCAAAGAAGUAGCCGAAGAGCAGUGAAUGAAGAGUAUAUAACAGUAAAAGAAAAGUUAUGGAAGUGAUGAAGAGCAAUGAUCAAAAGUCCUUCUCCCCUCCUUUUUUUGCCUUAAUAGUAGUAGUAGUAGUAUUUAUAGCUAAAAAUUAUUAAUGCUCUAAGUAAAAAGGACAUAAAUUAAGGCUAACAAUUAGUACUUGACAGAAUCAAUUAGCAAAAAUCGGAGCCCACAACUUUGAGAAAAAAAUGAUUAUUUCUAUAUAUAAAAAGUAUAUGAAUAUUUAUCAAAUUCAACUACAAUAUAAUUAGAGCAAUAAGAAAUCAUGUCAAGAAGGAAAAAAACUUACGGGAUUGAGUUUUUCUGAAAAUUAUUAUAUCAAAUCAAAGAAAGCAGAACCCACAAUAAAUAAAAAAAUUUACCUUUUUGGGGACUCCUAUGAACUUGGACAAAUUCUUCAAUUAAAUUCGUACCCAAAUCUUCCACCAA